rnacentral:rRNA from 1 species
GAACGUAGCGAAAUGCGAUACGUGGUGUGAAUUGCAGAAUCCCGUGAACCAUCGAGUUUUUGAACGCAAGUUGCGCCCAAAGCCUUUUGGUUGAGGGCACGUCUGCCUGGGUGUCACAC